rnacentral:rRNA from 1 species
CGGCUAACUACGUGCCAGCAGCCGCGGUAAUACGUAGGGUGCGAGCGUUGUCCGGAAUUACUGGGCGUAAAGAGUUCGUAGGCGGUUUGUCGCGUCGUUUGUGAAAACCCGGGGCUCAACUUCGGGCUUGCAGGCGAUACGGGCAGACUUGAGUGUUUCAGGGGAGACUGGAAUUCCUGGUGUAGCGGUGAAAUGCGCAGAUAUCAGGAGGAACACCGGUGGCGAAGGCGGGUCUCUGGGAAACAACUGACGCUGAGGAACGAAAGCGUGGGUAGCAAACAGGAUUAGAUACCCUGGUAGUCCACGCCGUAAACGGUGGGCGCUAGGUGUGGGUUCCUUCCACGGAAUCUGUGCCGUAGCUAACGCAUUAAGCGCCCCGCCUGGGGAGUACGGCCGCAAGGCUAAAACUCAAAGGAAUUGACGGGGGCCCGCACAAGCGGCGGAGCAUGUGGAUUAAUUCGAUGCAACGCGAAGAACCUUACCUGGGUUUGACAUACACCGGAAAGCCGUAGAGAUACGGCCCCCCUUGUGGUCGGUGUA